AGACAUGAUCUUGCAAAAAAACUUGAAGAAACUGGACAGAAAGAUGUUGAUGCUCACCAACUUCCAGAUUUAUCAGUAUACAGAAACUACAUUAAAGAAAAAUUUGAAACAAUGAAAGAUCCUAAUGCUGUUCCAGGUGAAUAUCUGCUCUUGAAUCAGAGAUACUCAAAACUAAUAA